UGCCAGCAGCCGCGGUAAUACAGAGGGUGCGAGCGUUAAUCGGAAUUACUGGGCGUAAAGGGUGCGCAGGUGGCUUGAUAAGUCAGAUGUGAAAGCCCCGGGCUUAACCUGGGAACUGCAUUCCAAACUGAAAAACUAGAGUACGAUAGAGGGAGGCAGAAUUCAGAGUGUAGCGGUGAAAUGCGUAGAUAUUCUGAGGAAUACCGGUGGCGAAGGCGGCCUCCUGGAUUGAUACUGACACUGAGGUGCGAAAGCGUGGGGAGCAAACAGGAUUAGAUA
rnacentral:rRNA from 1 species